GAGAGAGGCGUGUAGCACCGGAGACUGCUAAUCUCCGCUUCCCUAGUUAAAUUCUAAGGCUCACUCGC
rnacentral:tRNA from 1 species